UACGUAGGGGGCUAGCGUUGUCCGGAAUCAUUGGGCGUAAAGCGCGUGUAGGCGGUCCGGUAAGUCCGCUGUGAAAGUCGAGGGCUCAACCCUCGAAUGCCGGUGGAUACUGGCGAUCUCGAGUCCGGGAGAGGUGAGUGGAACUGCGAGUGUAGAGGUGAAAUUCGUAGAUAUUCGCAAGAACACCAGUGGCGAAGGCGGCUCACUGGCCCGGUACUGACGCUGAGGUGCGAAAGCGUGGGGAGCAAACAGG
rnacentral:rRNA from 1 species